rnacentral:rRNA from 1 species
UACAGAGGUCUCAAGCGUUGUUCGGAUUCAUUGGGCGUAAAGGGUGCGUAGGCGGCGCGGUAAGUCGGGUGUGAAAUCUCGGAGCUUAACUCCGAAACUGCAUUCGAUACUGCCGUGCUUGAGGACUGGAGAGGAGACUGGAAUUUACGGUGUAGCGGUGAAAUGCGUAGAUAUCGUAAGGAAGACCAGUGGCGAAGGCGGGUCUCUGGACAGUUCCUGACGCUGAAGCACGAAGGCCAGGGGGAGCAAAACGGGG